rnacentral:rRNA from 1 species
GAUUGAACGCUGGCGGCAUGCCUUACACAUGCAAGUCGAACGGCAGCACGGGUGCUUGCACCUGGUGGCGAGUGGCGAACGGGUGAGUAAUACAUCGGAACAUGUCCUGUAGUGGGGGAUAGCCCGGCGAAAGCCGGAUUAAUACCGCAUACGAUCUACGGAUGAAAGCGGGGGACCUUCGGGCCUCGCGCUAUAGGGUUGGCCGAUGGCUGAUUAGCUAGUUGGUGGGGUAAAGGCCUACCAAGGCGACGAUCAGUAGCUGGUCUGAGAGGACGACCAGCCACACUGGGACUGAGACACGGCCCAGACUCCUACGGGAGGCAGCAGUGGGGAAUUUUGGACAAUGGGCGAAAGCCUGAUCCAGCAAUGCCGCGUGUGUGAAGAAGGCCUUCGGGUUGUAAAGCACUUUUGUCCGGAAAGAAAUCCUUGGCUCUAAUACAGUCGGGGGAUGACGGUACCGGAAGAAUAAGCACCGGCUAACUACGUGCCAGCAGCCGCGGUAAUACGUAGGGUGCGAGCGUUAAUCGGAAUUACUGGGCGUAAAGCGUGCGCAGGCGGUUUGCUAAGACCGAUGUGAAAUCCCCGGGCUCAACCUGGGAACUGCAUUGGUGACUGGCAGCUAGAGUAUGGCAGAGGGGGGUAGAAUUCCACGUGUAGCAGUGAAAUGCGUAGAGAUGUGGAGGAAUACCGAUGGCGAAGGCAGCCCCCUGGGCCAAUACUGACGCUCAUGCACGAAAGCGUGGGGGAGCAAACAGAUUAGAUACCCUGGUAGUCCACGCCCUAACGAUGUCAACUAGUUGUUGGGGAUUCAUUUCCUUUAGUAACGUAGCUAACGCGUGAAGUUGACCGCUGGGGAGUACGGUCGCAAGAUUAAAACUCAAAGGAAUUGACGGGGACCCGCACAAGCGGUGGAUGAUGUGGAUUAAUUCGAUGCAACGCGAAAAACCUUACCUACCCUUGACAUGGUCGGAAUCCCGCUGAGAGGUGGGAGUGCUCGAAAGAGAACCGGCGCACAGGUGCUGCAUGGCUGUCGUCAGCUCGUGUCGUGAGAUGUUGGGUUAAGUCCCGCAACGAGCGCAACCCUUGUCCUUAGUUGCUACGCAAGAGCACUCUAAGGAGACUGCCGGUGACAAACCGGAGGAAGGUGGGGAUGACGUCAAGUCCUCAUGGCCCUUAUGGGUAGGGCUUCACACGUCAUACAAUGGUCGGAACAGAGGGUUGCCAACCCGCGAGGGGGAGCUAAUCCCAGAAAACCGAUCGUAGUCCGGAUUGCACUCUGCAACUCGAGUGCAUGAAGCUGGAAUCGCUAGUAAUCGCGGAUCAGCAUGCCGCGGUGAAUACGUUCCCGGGUCUUGUACUCACCGCCCGUC